UCGCUUAUUACCUUCCCCCCAAUUCCUCACUUGGGAGAAGACGGGGGAGGGGGGAGAGCUCCUCUGUGAUUUUUUAACUGUUUCUGUUCCAGAUGGCUGUGAGAGAGAAAGCUGUGCCUUAACCAUUCCUUGCGAACUGGAUUUGCCCGGUAAUUCAGCCCCUAGGGUUGUCCUCUCUUUCUUCUUCCUGCCAGAACUCCUGUGCCUUUAGCAGCUGCAUUUCUGGUAGGAAUUCAACAGGUCGUACUUUUGCUGAUCGCCACCGGGAAAAUCCCAGCCUGUUGAAAGGUUUCUUUCUAACAAGUUGUUAACGGUGCAGCAGGAGCCCCGCCGCGGGGGACAAACGCAGCAGCAGACAUGGAGCCCACUUUUCAACACAGCCUGCUACCUGGGGCCCAUCUUUCAUCAUCAGCCUUCCUUCUAAUAGGAAACUUGGUGACGGGCUCCAUGCCAACCAGAAGGGCAAUGAAGUGAGACCACACACUGACUGGUUGCAUUUUCUGCAAAUGUUAGGAUACUCCCCAGUUAUGCAGGAAAAUGUAUAAGAUCUGAAGAGAAACCAUUAUAAAACAAGCAAAUGAAAAAUAGGGGGCGGGGGUCCUUCUUGACAAGAGCCACACAUAUAGAAAGCUGUCCUGUUGAAACAGAAUGUUAACAGUUUAAAGGUCUCAGUGGCCGAGAUGAAACAUGCAGGUGGACAGGGGACUCGAGCAGUCAGGUGACUGUUAGUGACAGUUGGAAAUGGCAGUUGGUCUGAGUAACUGUAGCUUAACUGUUCAAAACCGUUGGAGCCCUUGUGAGCGAACGGAGGGUGACAGAAAUCCUGCUUACAUUAUGUUCAAUGCAUAUUUUAAUUGUGUCUUUUUUACAAUCUUGUUUUUAAAUUUUGCUGUAAACCACCUUGAGAUUGUUUUAAUGAAAGGUGGUAUAUAAAUUUAAUAAAUAAUAAAUAAAUGUUAGAUUUUUCUAUA